GAUGAACGCUGGCGGCGUGCCUAAUACAUGCAAGUCGAGCGAACAGACGAGGAGCUUGCUCCUCUGACGUUAGCGGCGGACGGGUGAGUAACACGUGGAUAACCUACCUAUCAGACUGGGAUAACUUCGGGAAACCGGAGCUAAUACCGGAUAAUAUAUUGAACCGCAUGGUUCAAUAGUAAAAUACGGUUUUUCUGUCUCUUAUAGAUGCAUCCGCGCCUCAUUAGCUAGUUGGUAAGGUAACGGCUUACCAAGGCAACGAUGCGUAGCCGACCUGAGAGGGUGAUCGGCCACACUGGAACUGGGCCACGGUCCAGACUCCUACGGGAGGCAGCAGUAGGGAAUCUUCCGCAAUGGGCGAAAGCCUGACGGAGCAACGCCGCGUGAGUGAUGAAGGUCUUCGGAUCGUAAAACUCUGUUAUUAGGGAAGAACAAAUGUGUACGUAAAUAUGCACGUCUUGACGGUACCUAAUCAGAAAGCCACGGCUAACUACGUG
rnacentral:rRNA from 1 species